CCCGACUGCUAUCGGGAUAAUGCUAAGCCAUGGGAGUCGAACGCCCCCAGCCACGUGGGGGCGUGGCGUACGGCUCAGUAGCACACGGCUAAUCUACCCUUGGGAGGGGUAUAACCCCGGGAAACUGGGGCUAAUACCCCAUAGACGAGCAACCCUGGAAUGGGUGCUCAUCGAAAGGGCGUGGGAGCAUGCUUCCACGUCGCCCAAGGAUGAGGCUGUGUUCCAUCAGGUAGUUGGCGAGGUAACGGCUCGCCAAGCCGAUAACGGAUGCGGGCAGUGAGAGCUGGAGCCCGGAGAUGGGCACUGAGACAAGGGCCCAGGCCCUACGGGGCGCACCAGGCGAGAAACCUUAGCAAUGCGGGAAACCGUGACUGGGCUAUCCCGAGUGCCAGCCGCUAAGGCUGGCUUUUCCCCAGAGUAAAAACCUGGGGGAAUAAGCGGGGGGCAAGACUGGUGUCAGCCGCCGCGGUAAUACCAGCUCCGCGAGUGGUCGGGACGAUUAUUGAGCCUAAAGCGCUCGUAGCCGGUCCGGUAAGUCCUGUGCUAAAUCCAACGGCUCAACCGUUGGGCCGCAUGGGAUACUGCCGGGCUAGGGAGCGGAAGAGGCCAGGGGUACUCCCGGGGUAGGGGCGAAAUCCUAUAAUCCCGGGAGGACGACCAGUGGCGAAGGCGCCUGGCUAGGACGCGUCCGACGGUGAGGGGCGAAAGCUGGGGGAGCGAACCGGAUUAGAUACCCGGGUAGUCCCAGCUGUAAACGAUGCGGAUUGGGUGCCGGUACGGCUUCGGGCCGUAUCGGUGCCUCAGGGAAGCCGUUAAAUCCGCCGCUUGGGGAGUACGGUCGCAAGACUGAAACUUAAAGGAAUUGGCGGGGGAGCACCACAAGGGGUGAAGCCUGCGGCUCAAUUGGAGUCAGCGCCGGGAACUUUACCGGGGGCGACAGCAGGAUGAGGGCCAAGCUGAUGACUUUGCCCGACGCGCUGAGAGGUGGCGCAUGGCCGUCGCCAGCUCGUGCCGUGAGGUGUCUGGUUAAGUCCAGGAACGAGCGAGACCCUCACCCCUAGUUGCCACCGCGCAAGCGGGCCCACUAGGGGACCGCCACCGCU
rnacentral:rRNA from 1 species